rnacentral:lncRNA from 1 species
CCGGCUCAGCCUCGCGGCGGGGGAAACCCGAGCUCCCAACAAAACGGUUCCAUCUUUGGCUAGGCCUUUGGUAUUUCAAGGCGCUGCCGGUGGGGAGAGAUGCCGCGUGCCUGAGAGGCUCUGGGAGAUGUUAUGUGGUCAACAGGGACUGAGGCUCUUUAAGCCCUUAAAUCUCUAAGGGCUAAAUCUCCUUCCUGAUAUUCGCCCCCAAACCGGCACCAAAGAAGGCCCAGAGAGGUUUAACAACUUCCUCAGAAUCACACAGCUUCCAAAUGGUUGGGUUGGGUUUACAUUUAGGCGGUCUUGCUCCAGAGCCAGUGCUCCUAACCUUUGCAAGCCACGAACCUCAAGAAAGUGGAGAAGGAAACGCUGGGAAAUCUGGAAGUCAGACAUGAGAGCUAAUGCUGGCAGCUGUUGGGAUGUCCUCUUCCAGGAAUGGUGAUGAGUUUCCCUGGAUCCAGCCCUGGCUUGGCUGAGGUUUUUCUCACUGUAAGAAGAGGACAAUAGCCUAUGAUCUACAGUGCCCAUUCCAACUCAGAGAAUCUUUACAUCUGGAGAUCUAUAGCAGGGCUAUCCCUAGUGACAUGCGUGAAGAAGCUUGGAAAUGGUGCUGGGUAGGAGCUGAGUGUGCAGAAUGUGGAAAGGCAUUCUAAACCAAAGGAAGAACACGAGUAAAGAUGAUGAAGCAGGGAUAAGGCUAAAAUGAAAUUUGUGAUCUGAUCCACAUACAAGCACAGUGUAGUACAGCUGGAAUAUAGAGAAGAGCUUGAAGACUUAUGAGCAACUAUCCCGGUACUCUUGGAGGCUCUGCAACCACAGUUUGAGAAACUCCGCGUUCAAAGUUAAAAACUGUCACCUGAAUAGUUAAUAACAUCAAAGAUUGUGAAAGCAAGUAUAAAUAACACAGAGAUUAAAAUAAUGAGGCAGGAUCAGAAAAUGAUGAAGGUUUAAGAAGCAGCAUCAUCAGCGAACUGUGUUUUGAAGAUUUGAGGGAAGGGCUGACCUCAGGAUUUUAUACUAGUUGCUGACCUCCAUAACAGCAGACAAAAUUGGAAGCAAGAGUGAUUUUGGAGGAGUCACACUUAGAUGUUUCCCUUACCUAUUUCUGUUCUGGAAAUUUAAAAAUCUUACUUCUCGUGACAGUCCUACAUGAAAAAUUAAAAAUCACAAGGAUUCAUGGAUGGAAAACUGAGACUCAGAGAAUGAUCACAUUCACAUCGUAAUAAAUCAGCAAUAGAGUGAGUGAUUGUUCCUUGGUAAGAAAUCAACUCUAAACUCAGUUGGAAACCUUUGCCAAUAUUACUUAACACAUGACAAUCUGGUGUGACUCAUUUUUCUUGACAUUAUGCAAAUAAAGGAAACAAGACUGA